CCUACGGGAGGCUGCAGUGGGGAAUAUUGGACAAUGGGGGCAACCCUGAUCCAGCCAUGCCGCGUGUGUGAAGAAGGCCCUCGGGUUGUAAAGCACUUUCAGUGAGGAAGAACGCCUGGUGGUUAAUACCCAUCAGGAAAGACAUCACUCACAGAAGAAGCACCGGCUAACUCCGUGCCAGCAGCCGCGGUAAUACGGAGGGUGCGAGCGUUAAUCGGAAUUACUGGGCGUAAAGCGCGCGUAGGUGGCUUGAUAAGCCGGUUGUGAAAGCCCCGGGCUCAACCUGGGAACGGCAUCCGGAACUGUCAAGCUAGAGUGCAGGAGAGGAAGGUAGAAUUCCCGGUGUAGCGGUGAAAUGCGUAGAGAUCGGGAGGAAUACCAGUGGCGAAGGCGGUCUUCUGGACUGACACUGACACUGAGGUGCGAAAGCGUGGGUAGCAAACAGGAUUAGAUACCCGAGUAGUC
rnacentral:rRNA from 1 species